rnacentral:rRNA from 1 species
GACGAACCGUCCAAACGUUAUUCGGAAUUACUGGGCUUAAAGGGUGCGUAGGCGGCGCGGAAAGUAGGGUGUGAAAUCCCUCGGCUCAACCGAGGAACUGCGCCCUAAACUACCGUGCUCGAGGGAGAUAGAGGUGAGCGGAACUUAGGGUGGAGCGGUGAAAUGCGUUGAUAUCCUAAGGAACACCCGUGGCGAAAGCGGCUCACUGGGUCUCUUCUGACGCUGAGGCACGAAAGCUAGGGUAGCGAACGGG